rnacentral:lncRNA from 1 species
GUCAUGUUCUAGUCUCGGCUCCGCCGUAGCACGAUAUUAUCCGCUUUGGGCUCCGGCCACGCCCUUACAGUUUUGUUUCUGGGAACUUAUACGAGAACUUCCUAGUGGGUCACCCAUCCUGGGAUUGCUCUCGCCCGAACUGGCUUAACUUCGGAGUUCCGACGAACUCCGAAGCCAGUGAGCUCCUAAAAGGCCUCGUGCUAUAUGGAGGUGGGCAUGUACAUAUAAGGCACAUCACCCCCUCUCCGUUGGUCGAUGUGUGAUGUUACAUUUAGCCUAACUCUUCCUAAUUAUCUUUGACUUCAACUCUUCUUUCAUUGCCAUUGACAAUAUCCUUAUUUGGUGUUUCUUUUAGGAGAGGGAGCCAUUUUGGUAGAAUCUUUUCUAGCAACAUCAACAUUUGAAGGUUUGUGUGCUUUGCACGCACCACGCAUGAGAUUGACCGACUCAACCUUUUCCUUUUCAUACUUUUCCUUUUUCAUCCUUUCUUCUUCACAUAUAGCAAUUAACUCAUCCGCAUCCCACUAUAAAAUUUUCUGAUAUAGGUACCUCAAGAGCCUUGAGCUUUGUAGCAACAUCCGUCAUUCUCAAAAUGUAUUCACGCAUGCUUUCAAUGCCAUCAUAGCUCAUGGUGGUAAGUGAGUUCAUGAGAUUACCUGUCUCAAUUUUUGGAGACUCCUUGUACUUCUGCUCGAUGAACUUGAGAAAAUCCUUUGUAUUGGUAGCAUCUGUCUCAGUUUCUGGUGACUCUUUGUACUUCUGCUCGAUGGACUUGAGAAAAUCCUUUGCAUUGGUAGCAUCAAUGAUGGCUCCUCGAACCAUAUCAGUCAUGCUUCUUUUGAUAAUCAGCAAAGAAAUUCUGUUUGAUUUGUGCCACUUUUCAUACUUAAACCUCUGGCUUGAUGUGCUAUCAUCAGUUGGUCCUGGUGGUUCUUCAGUCCUUAGUGCCAAGUCCAUAUCCAUGACACCCAAAGUAGUCUCCAAAUCCUGCUUCCAUUUCUUGUAGUUAACACCAGUGAGUGGUUCAACCGUGUUGAGGUUCAUGGAAUUAGGGUUUAAUCAUGUAACAUGAUAAAUAUCAAACUUUAAUCCCCAAUCUUUAUAUCACAGACUCAAAAAAUUUUGGAUUAACGAGUUAUAUGAAAAUUUUCUUUAGUCACGACACCCUCACACUCAAAAUAAGAAUAUCUGUAGCCAUAAUUACAAUCCUUUGUGGACUGCAAGAAGUGGCUGGAUUCUCACUUGAAAUAUGAAGUGUCAUGCCACUAGAGAUCAAAACAUGGACAACUGAACUUCUUUAGAUGAUCAGUGACAAUGCUUUAAGCCCUAGUGCCAUUACCAAUUUGUAUACUGAAUGAAAAACACAGAGCACAUAUAGCUUUAGCUAUCAUGUGCAUAAAGAUGUUCUUCCUGUAUAGUACAUCAUUAGUCUGUAACCUGCAACUUUAAACAUUUCCUUAUGCUUUCUUCUUAGGGUUAAUUGGUAUGUGAAAGCUCUGAUACCAAAUGUAAAAUCAAUAUCUGUGGAAACAUGUAAUUCACGAUACCAAAUUAACCACUAACCUUGUGACGCCAUUGUUGCAAUGAACUAAGGGUUCUUCUACUCUCUACACAGACCGAAUGCACUGCUACAAUCAAUCGGGCUUGAUAUCUUUUGUGCGUAAUUAGUGAGAGAGCAGGGGACCCUAUUAUAUGUCCUAAAUGGUGGUGUUUGAUAAGGAUACUUCCCAUCAUGUAAUCCUUAUCAAACUAUCAAACUGAUAACCCUUAUCACCACGAAACCAUAUUAUUCAUAUCAGCAUAGAUAUAUCUACUCAUAUCAAGAUUACUUUAGCUAUAUAGUCCACAUACACUCCUGAAUUUUUCCUUGUGUAAAAGUUACUCUAUUUGCACCAGGAAGGCCCGAGUGUAAUCAUUUGCAUCGAUGCUCACAACCUAGAAACUGGUAAACCUACAUUGGAACAGAAGUUUCUGUUAGUAUGUAAGUUGUUGAGCUUAUUAGUAAACAUUACAAGAUUGUUAUGUGUGUCAUGGCUGAGCUAUUAUGUUAAAUUGUGAUGUGUUGAUUAAGUCUCAUAGGGCUUAUCAUUUGACAAGUGUCUUGAUCUUAAGAUAGGUUGUAAUGGUUGGUUGAGAUUGAAUUGAGGUUAUGUCUCUCUCUCUCUCAUCUUUGUCUUCAGUUAAAAAUGUCUCUUCGAGUUGUUAUGCUAAGAAUGAAAUACAAUGGUAGAAGUUAAAAGGUUAUGCUCUGUGUGUGUGCUCUUUCUCUGAUUUCAUCUUGUAAACAUUUUUAAACAUCUCUCUCAAAUCCUGUUAGACCUAAUAUAGUUGUGUUAUUGGAUUCUAACAUGGCCUCAGAGCCGAGUUCGAUCUAAAACUUCUGGGCGUUGUUUCUACGAGUGGGUGAGCUCGAAUUCACAGCAAAAGCUUAUUGCGGUGAUUCGAGUAUCUAAUAUGGCUGGAUCUGGAGGAGGAGAACUCCGGGCACCAAUUUUCAAUGGUGAGAAUUUUGAUUUCUGGCAAAUCAAAAUGAAGACCAUCUUUCGCUCGUAUGAACUGUGGAAUAUGGUUGAGAGUGGGUACAGAGCUCCGGCGAAGGAGGAGGAACUCACAGAGGCGGAGAGGAAGCUGCUGCGUGAAAAUGUAGUUAAGGAUGCUAGAGCACUGGGUAUUAUUCAAGGGGCAGUUUCGGACCAAAUCUUCCCGAGGAUUGCAACUCAGGAAAGUGCGAAGGCUGCGUGGGACAUUCUGAAACAAGAGUUCGUUGGUGAUAAACAAGUAAGAUCUGUGAAACUUCAAGGCCUUAGGCGAGAUUUUGAAUAUACUCGCAUGAAUGAUAGUGAAUCUCUUUCUGUGUAUAUUGCUAAGUUGUUUGAUCUGAUUAAUCAAAUGAAGAGCUAUGGUGAAGAUCUGAGUAAUCAAAGAGUUGUUCAGAAAUUGUUAAUCAGUUUACCUAAGUCCUAUGAUAGUAUUGCAGCAGUGAUAGAGAAUACUAAGGAUUUAGACACCAUAGAUGCACAGGAUGUAGUAGCUAUCUUAAAAGGUUAUGAACAAAGGUUGGAUAGACAUGGAGAGAGUAGUAUGGAGAAAGCAUUUGCCAGUUUGAAAUUUGUCCCGAGGUCUAAUAAAUUCAAUGGUCAGCCAAACAGUAACAAAUAUCACAAGAAUUUUAAGCCAAAAGAGAAACAAUGGAGUAACAAGGGUGAUUGGAGCAAUAAGGGUGGAUUCACUGUGAAGAAUGAGGCAAACAAUACUGGAGAUAAGUGUAAAUUCUGUGAUAAACUUCACUAUGGAGAGUGUUGGGUUAAAAACAAAGUCAAGUGUCACAAGUGUAACAAAAUUGGGCAUAUUGCAAGGUAUUGUAAUAUGAACAAGACUGUGCAGCAUGUGAACUUUGCUAAUCAGGUUGAAGAAACUGGAAAUUUGUUUUAUGCAAAUCAUUCUGGAGAAGUGAGGAAGAUAAGUGAUGAAUGGUAUAUAGAUAGUGGAUGUAGUAACCAUAUGACAUCCAGAGAAGAUCUACUUGUUGAUAUUGACAGGAAAGUGAAAGCAAAAGUCCAAGUUGGCACUGGAGUUUUGGUUGAAGUUGAAGGGAAGGGAACACUGAUCAUUGAAACUGUAAAGGGUCGAAGAUAUAUAAAAGAAGUUAUGCUUGUACCUGGUCUUACAGAAAAUUUGUUAAGUGUGGGACAAAUGACUGAGCACGGUUACUUUCUUUUAUUUGGAGAUUAUAAAGUGGAUGUGUUCGAUGAUAGAUCGUUACAAAACCUGGUGGUCAGUGUGAAACAGAGAGGAAAUAGAUGUUUUCCUUUAAUCCUCAACACAAACAAGGAGCUUGCAUUGAGGACAAAUGUGCAAGAGUGUGUUAGAAUUUGGCACAAGAGGUUCGGUUAUCUAAAUUUCAGAAGUCUCAAACUAUUACAGAGUCAAGAAAUGGUUUUGGGGCUGCCUGAAAUCCAAGACAGUGAAACUGUAUGUCAAAGUUGUGCACUGGGGAAAAAUCACAGGGAACCAUUUCCCAAAGAAUCAAUGUGGAGAGCAAAGGAACCACUUGAACUAAUACACUUGGAUGUGUGUGGUCCUAUGCAAACAUCAAGUUUGAGUGGCAAUCGAUACUUUAUUAUCUUCAUAGAUGAUUAUUCAAGAAUGUGUUGGGUAUAUUUCUUGAGAAACAAAUCAGAUGCCUUCUAUGUGUUUAAGAAAUUUAAAGCCAUGGUUGAGCUUCAAAGUGGAUAUCAUGUAAAGAAGCUAAGAACAGAUAGAGGAGAAGAGUUCAACUCAAAUGAGUUUGGAAAAUUUUGUGAAGAUUUGGGGAUAGAAAGACAGCUCACAAUUGCAUACUCUCCUCAGCAGAAUGGAGUAGCAGAAAGGAAAAACAGGACAAUUGUGGAGAUGGCAAAGUGCAUGAUCGUUGAGAAAGGACUUCCAAACAAUCUCUGGUGUGAAGCAGUAAACACAUCUGUGUAUCUGCUUAACAGGAGUCCUACAAAAGCAGUGAAGAAUACUACACCUUUUGAGAAAUUCAGUGGAAGAAAACCUGGGGUUAAACACUUGAAGGUGUUUGGUUCAGUUUGCUAUUCUCUUAUUCCAGGGAAUCUAAGACACAAAUUAGAAGAAACAAGUGUCAUGGGUGUUUUCAUUGGAUAUGGUACCUGUGAAAAGGGGUAUAGGGUACUGAAUCCUUUAACUCAAAAGGUCUUGUUAUCUAGAGAUGUAAUUUUUGAUGAACAUGGAAGAUGGGACUGGGAGAAACACAAAGUCAAGGAAGUCUGUAUUCCUUUAUCUGCAGUUGAGUCUUCAGAGUUGGAUAAAAUUGAUGAGAUGUUUGAAUCUCAUGAACAAGAAGGAUCUGAUGGGUCUCAAAUUCAAGCUGGAAGUUCUCCAGCUACUGCUAUUGGUGAAUCAAGUAGCUCACAGGUCUCUGCUCAGUAUGAUGAUACUCCACUGAGGUAUAGGAACUUGAGUGAGAUCUAUGAGAGAUGUCACUUAUGUAUUGUUGAACCUGAAUCCUUUGAUGAAGCUGCACAGGAUGAAGCUUGGAAAAAGGCAAUGAAGGAUGAAAUGAAUAUGAUCGAAAAAAAUCAGACAUGGGAGUUGGUGAGAAGACCCUCAGAUAAGCCUGUGAUUGGGGUGAAAUGGGUGUAUAAAACAAAGCUGAAUUUGGAUGGAACAGUUCAAAAGAACAAGGCUAGACUUGUUGCAAAAGGCUAUGCACAAAAGCCCGGAAUUGAUUUUAAUGAGACUUUUGCACUUGUUGCAAGAUUAGACACAGUUAGAACUCUAAUUGCACUGGCAGCAAAGAAUAAAUGGAAGUUAUUUCAACUAGAUGUGAAAUCAGCUUUUCUGAAUGGAGUAUUAGAAGAGGAAGUAUAUGUUGAACAGCCAGAUGGGUUUGUAGUGCAAGGAGAGGAAGAAAAGGUUUACAGAUUACAUAAAGCUUUGUAUGGUCUAAAACAGGCACCUAGGGCCUGGUAUGGUGAAAUAGAUUCAUACCUUAUGCUUUGUGGAUUUAAGAAAAGCAUCAGUGAGGCAACUCUGUACACCAAGUACAAGGGAGACACAGAAUUGAUCAUAGUAUCCAUCUAUGUUGAUGAUAUUAUAUAUACUGGAAAUUGUCAAGAGUUAAUGGAUGUUUUCAAAGCUGAGAUGAUGUACAAGUAUGAGAUGACAGAUCUUGGUCUCUUACACCAUUUUCUUGGUAUGGGGGUAAUCCAAACUGAGGAGUGUAUCUUCAUUCAUCAGAGGAAUUAUGCCUUAUCUCUUCUGAAGAAGUUCGGACUACAGAAUUGCAAAUCAGUGAGUACUCCUUUGGUUCCAAGUGAUAAACUGAGAAGAGAAGAUGGAAGUGGAAAUGCAGAUGAAGCUCAGUAUAGACAGAUUGUAGGUAGUCUGCUGUAUCUCACAGCAACUAGACCUGAUAUAAUGUAUGCUGCUUGUCUCUUAGCUCGGUUUAUGCAUUGUCCCACUAACAAGCACUAUGGAAUAGCAAAGAAAGUAUUGAGAUAUGUUCAAGGAACUCUUGAUUUUGGUUUGGAAUACAAGAAAGGUGAAGGGACACUCUUAAUGGGAUACUGUGACAGUGACUGGAGUGGCUCAGAGGAUGACAUGAAAAGCACAUCCGGGUAUGCUUUUACUUUUGGAAAUGGGAUUUUCUCUUGGUCUUCAGUCAAGCAACAAUGUGUUGCAUUAUCCACAGCCGAAGCAGAGUAUAUCAGUGCUUCUGAAGCAACAGCACAGGCUACUUGGUUGAGAUUUGUUCUAGAGGAUUUUGGUGAAAUGCAAACAGUUGCAACACCAAUGAAUUGUGACAAUACAUCUGCCAUAGCCAUCACCAAGAAUCCUAUUUUUCAUCAGAAGACCAAGCAUAUAAACCGAAGAUAUCACUUCAUAAAGGAAGCAUUACAGCAAGGAGUAAUUGAUUUGAUUCACUGUCCUACUAAGGAGCAACUAGCUGAUAUCUUUACAAAAGCAUUGGCAAGGGAGCAGUUCACUUACUUGAGAAAUCUACUUGGAGUGAAAUCAGUUCACAACUUAAAGGGGAGUGUUAGUAUGUAAGUUGUUGAGCUGAUUAGUAAACAUUACAAGAUUGUUAUGUGUGUCAUGGCUGAGCUAUUGUGUUAAAUUGUGAUGUGUUGAUUAAGUCUCAUAGGGCUUAUCAUUUGACAAGUGUCUUGAUCUUAAGAUAGGUUGUAAUGGUUGGUUGAGAUUGAAUUGAGGUUAUGUCUCUCUCUCUCUCAUCUUUGUCUUCAGUUAAAAAUGUCUCUUCGAGUUGUUAUGCUAAGAAUGAAAUACAAUGAUAGAAGUUAAAAGGUUAUGCUCUGUGUGUGUGCUCUUUCUCUGAUUUCAUCUUCUAAACAUUUCUAAACAUCUCUCUCAAAUCCUGUUAGACCUAAUAUAGUUGUGUUACUGGAUUCUAACAGUUUCUGCAUAGAUGAUUUUCCUGCAUGAUGCUGGCAAAGUUGGGAAAGUAUUGACAUUUGACAAUGCUAGGACUGGCUGGUGGUGGAGCAUUCUCGUUGAGAAGUGGUUCCACCUGGUUUGGAUUCGACCAAACAGGGUAUCCUUUAAUUUUUCCCUAAAUCAUAAUAAUAAGGCAUGUCAGUACUUUAGUGCCAAAGCUGCAGAAAUUUUUUUGAAUGAUGUGAGCUAUUUCGAAUGCUGCGAUUCUAUUAAUUUCUUUUCUGCCAUUUUCCGAUAUUUAAUUUGGUUGGAAACUCACCAAUUGAUGGAGUUAAGCUAUAUAUGUUUUUAUUUCUGGAAAGGUUCAGUCUUUAAGUGAAGGAAGCUAGUUGAUACUUGAUAUGCAACAAGAAGAAAUUGUUGUUGCUACCAACACUUAAGUUAUCAGAUAAAGUAGCCAGGGAUUUAGGCAUUUUCGUGUUUCGAACAUUUCAAAUUACAUGUCACUGUACUUUAAUUUUCCGUGGCCACAGCCUUCUAUUGAUCAGAUGCAUAAACAAGGGGAUUCAUCAACAGAAAACUAUGAGAACAACUGGUUUCUUGAAAUCAAUUUCAUAUUCAUAAUUUCAUAUCAUGAAUGCUAACAAGGUAGUCAUCCGUAAGCCCCGAGCAUGUACGAAACAAACUAUAAUAGCAAAGUUUAAAGGUUAUUUAGCUACAUAUAUUGGCGGCCUGGCCUACAACUAGAUAGGCUUACAGGGAGUGAGAGGCUUUCCGCAUAAGCCUGUGUUUCCGGAGUAAGAACUCUUGGGAAAGUCACUGAGCGGUUUGCCCUCUGGAAUUUUCCCCACGAGAUGAUUGUUUGAUAAAUUCAAUACCUCCAGAUUCCCCAGCUUCAGAAACUCGUCUGGAAUUUUCCCCGAAAAGCGGUUUUGCUGCAACUCGAGCACCAGUAGCAUGCUCAAGUUUCCCAGGGAGUCUGGGAUUGCUCCUUCAAGCUUGUUGUUCGAUAGGUCAACCUCUCGGAGCGAAAUCAAAUCUCCAAAGUUUGUUGGUAUGCUUCCGGUGAGACUAUUAUUCGCGAGCAAUAAAAGCUUGAGAGAUGGCAUUUUUAAAACUGGAAUUGGCCCCUCAAAAAAGUUAUUGUGCAACCAUAUAGUUACAA